rnacentral:rRNA from 1 species
CCUACGGGGGGCAGCAGUGAGGAAUAUUGGUCAAUGGACGAGAGUCUGAACCAGCCAAGUAGCGUGAAGGAUGACUGCCCUAUGGGUUGUAAACUUCUUUUAUAUGGGAAUAAAACGUUCCACGUGUGGGAUUUUGUAUGUACCAUAUGAAUAAGGAUCGGCUAACUCCGUGCCAGCAGCCGCGGUAAUACGGAGGAUCCGAGCGUUAUCCGGAUUUAUUGGGUUUAAAGGGAGCGUAGGUGGAUUGUUAAGUCAGUUGUGAAAGUUUGCGGCUCAACCGGAAAAUUGCAGUUGAAACUGGCAGUCUUGAGUACAGUAGAGGUGGGCGGAAUUCGUGGUGUAGCGGUGAAAUGCUUAGAUAUCACGAAGAACUCCGAUUGCGAAGGCAGUUCACUGGACUGCAACUGACACUGAGGCUCGAAAGUGUGGGUAUCAAACAGGAUUAGAUACCCUUGUGUC